rnacentral:rRNA from 1 species
CCUACGGGCGGCUGCAGUGGGGAAUAUUGCACAAUGGGCGCAAGCCUGAUGCAGCCAUGCCGCGUGUGUGAAGAAGGCCUUCGGGUUGUAAAGCACUUUCAGCGGGGAGGAAGGCGUUAAGGUUAAUAACCUUGUCGAUUGACGUUACCCGCAGAAGAAGCACCGGCUAACUCCGUGCCAGCAGCCGCGGUAAUACGGAGGGUGCAAGCGUUAAUCGGAAUUACUGGGCGUAAAGCGCACGCAGGCGGUCUGUCAAGUCGGAUGUGAAAUCCCCGGGCUCAGCCUGGGAACUGCAUUCGAAACUGGCAGGCUAGAGUCUUGUAGAGGGGGGUAGAAUUCCAGGUGUAGCGGUGAAAUGCGUAGAGAUCUGGGGGAAUACCGGUGGCGAAGGCGGCCCCCUGGACAAAGACUGACGCUCAGGUGCGAAAGCGUGGGGAGCAAACAGGAUUAGAUACCCGUGUAGUC